rnacentral:rRNA from 1 species
AACGAACGCUGGCGGCGCGCCUAACGCAUGCAAGUCGAACGAGAAUCCGGGGCAACCCGGUAGUAAAGUGGCAGACGGGUGAGGAAUACAUGGGUAACCUGCCCUUGAGAAGGGAAUAACCCGCCGAAAGGCGAGCUAAUACCCUAUACGCUACAAGUCCUUUGGGAUUUGUAGGAAAGCUAAGCCGUGGGCUUGGCACUCAAGGAGGGGCUCAUGUCCUAUCAGCUUGUUGGUGGGGUAACGGCCUACCAAGGCUACGACGGGUAGCUGGUCUGAGAGGAUGAUCAGCCACACUGGCACUGAGAUACGGGCCAG